rnacentral:lncRNA from 1 species
UCUGGUUCUUUUAUGACUCUAAUUCCUUCACAAUGUGUCACAUAUUAUAGGCAAUCACUAGGUAAUUUUGAAUGAGCAGUUCUAACGUUUCAGCAUCUUUUAUAGCUCUGAUGUUUAUGCUACACAUACUGUACUUACUGGUAAUUGAAAAGAAAGGCAGUUUAUUUUUGCUUUUAUAAAACCAGGUUGGACUCGAAGUGGCCUCUUUGAAGUGGUAGAAUCUGAGACUGAUCUUUGAAGUCUGGCUGUCAUGGUUGAUGGACCUCCCAAAAAAUUGGGGGUAUUUGGGAAGCAUCUAGGGCUUAUGCAACUCUCUGUUGGUUUUAUUUUUAGUUGAGUCCUAGAGCUGUACUCAUAAAUCACAAGCUGACUCAAAAGAGAGAUUGCUUUGGUUAUUCUAAAGAUAAAGGGGGAAAAAAAAAAACAGCGAGAUUUGUCAAGUAGCAACUUUCAGCACUGGGCUGUGUCAUUUAAAAUAUGUAUUCUCAUGUAAGUGUCAAAAGAACCCUGCCAGUAGUAAUAUAUUUUCUUCUUUUAGAUGUAAAAGGAGGUUCAGAAAAAGUAACUAAUUUACUUGAACUUUAAGUUCUCUGGGAUCCAAGUGUCUGGCACAGAGGAGUCAUUCAACUAAAUGUGAAUUAAAUUUAUUCAAGGGUCCUUAGUCAGACAGCGAUGGAUCAGGCUGAGUUUGAACCCAAAGCUGUUGGUAUUUGAAGCUCAUCCUCUUUCCAUUAUUGUCUCUCCUGUAAAUAGAAAUUCUCAUAGAGAGAGAACCAGAACCGGCAUUAUUAGCUUUUCAUUGUAGCUCUUUUGCUCUUUCAGCUCAGGCUGCAUGAGACUGAAGUUUUGAACAUUUGGGCCCAAAUAUCAUUUUUCUCUGUCUAUGCUCUUUGCCCAGAGAUGAUGCUAAGGAUAAACUUGACUUCCUGGCAACAUCUCAGCCAGAAACUGAGAACUGUUAGAACACACUCUUCCUGAUAUCCUAAGGAGGCAAAAAUACACAUUUGGAAAGAAUAAAGUUGCCGAAACGGUAACACCAUUUGCAUUUUAUUCUCUGUCUCCUCCCUCCGCCCCCAGGGUAGGGGCUAGUGGCCAUCCAAACCCAGCCAAGAAGUCAGCAAGUUAGAACUUUAUCAUGUUUAUCGUUCUGGUUCGUGGGUUUGUUUUUAAUAAAGUCCUGGCUCUCCAAGUAGCUGAGGACUAUUUCACAUGAUCAGCAGAUUUAAAAGUCUUUUCCUGAGCUCUAGGACAAAGGAGAAUAUAUUACAUUUUAUACGCACAAACUCUCAUUCCCACACUUCCCUCCCAGCUGACACAAAUACUUGGUUUUUUACAUUUUUUUUUUAGACACUGCAUCUACUUUUUAAGACUCAAUUUGAAUCGAUGCUUUUUUAAUUUGAAUGCUGCACAAAUGAUACUUGCUCUUCUGCCACACCCACUGGUGCCAAAGAGAGGAGGAAAGUGGUGACUGUUGGAAGCACAGCUUUGUGUAGGGCACCGUGAGAGCCAGCACCUAACUGGUGAGAAGUUACACGGAGGAGCCGGGAGGUCAGUACAUGCAAUGCUCUUCUGGUGUUGAGCCUCUCAAGGAGUGGAAGCGGGACGGGCUUGGGAGACGGUCUGUUCACAGGGAGGACAGAUGUCUCAGAAACGGAAGGAGUGUGGAGUGAGGAAGAUGGGGCUAAACGUCCAGUGCCCACUCGGACUAGGAUUUCUUUAGUCCCCCGCCCAGUGCCCUUGGCCUUCGGAAACUAGCAAUUUGGUUUUGUUUCUUAUUUUGAGAAAAUUGUAUCAUGUGAGACAAAAUGGAGUCCAAAGGAUAAUAGAAAAGGAAUUAAAAUUUUUAGUAUAUGUUAAUAGACACACGCAUGCGUGAGUGCGUGCUGUGGGGAUGGGUGGGGCAGGCGCUGCAGGUGUCCUGGCACCUGGUCCCACCCCCACCUUAGUUGUCGAGCCUACCCUCAUCCCUCCUGCUGGAUCUUCUUCCCCCUGUUCUGUCAGCACAUUGCCCUCGCCCUCUUCUUCCUGGCUCUGUGAUCUUGGGGAUCACUUAACUACUCUGGGCAUUGGCUGCUUCUCCUCUAAAAUGGAGAUAUUAGUGUCUCCUUGCAAGUCAUGAUAAAUGUUAGGGAGCUUGUGUGCAGAACACCAGCGCAGGGUCUCGAAAGCGAGAGGCAGCUGGUUUUGUCUUUCUUUCAAACGUUUGUUCAGCAGAUCAAGACUUGAACACCAGGACUGGGUAUAUGCUCGGCUCACUCUUAAGGAUACAAGCACAGAACCUUCUCAUCAGGGGCUCGUAAAAUACUGAGAAAGACAUGUUUUACUGCAGGGUGGAGCAUGUGCUUGGACGCAAAUAUACCCCAGAACACAGCUCAGAUACCCAGGUUCCUCAGGAAUCAACUUCUCUGAUUCCAUUUUCCUCUAUUCUGGAAAUAGUUGUUCCCCCUUUUGAGCUUCAGAGAGGUGUGCUAGCCAGUAAUGGCACCACAGGUGUGGCGACUGUGUACUUGAAAUGUGGUUAUUUUAUUUGAGAUGUGCUAUAAGCGUAAAGCACACAGCAGACUUCAAAGGCUU